GAUGAAGAACGUAGCGAAAUGCGAUACGUAAUGUGAAUUGCAGAAUUCAGUGAAUCAUCGAGUCUUUGAACGCACAUUGCGCCCCCUGGUAUUCCGGGGGGCAUGCCUGUCCGAGCGUCAUUACUGCCCUCAAGCGCGGCUUGUGUGUUGGGCCCUCGUCCCCCCGGGGACGUGCCCGAAAGGCAGUGGCGGCGCCGUGCCCGGACCUCGAGCGUAUGGGGCUUUGUCACCCGCUCUGGAGGCCCGGCCGGCGGCCGUCGGACCACCCCAACCUUUUUAACCGGUUGACCUCGGAUCAGGCAGGGAUACCCGCUGAACUUAAGCAUAUCAAUAAGCGGAGGA
rnacentral:misc_RNA from 1 species